rnacentral:tRNA from 1 species
UAAAAAAUAAGCUAAACAAAGCUAAUGAGUUCAUACCUCAUUUAUAUUGGUUUUAAUCCUUUUUUUUUAA